CUCAUCCCUGGGUCCCCGCACCCUGGGCGGGGCCAGGCACGGGGGCUGGCUCCCUGCUCCGUGCACCUGGCCCAUCCGAGCUACCGAGCUACCGGCGAUGCUGGGGAGAGGCCCUCGGCCCGGGAGGCAGCUCAGCCGGCAGCCGGCUCUGGGCGGUUAAGGAGUGCGAGCCGGACUCGGACUGUCCGUCCUUCUGGCUCCUUCUGAGGACUGACAGGGCAGGUGCUGCAAACCCUCCAGCCUCCGGUGGCUUCACAGAUGACACGGGGAUGACUGCCCGCGAGCCAGCUCGGGAGGAUUGCUGGGAGCACUCCGUGCGCAGUGCUCUCUCUGGGUCCCGGACACGGACGGACCGACGGACGCGGGUUCCCGAGUGAAGCUGUUUCUGGGUCAAGGACCUUCCUCCAGGCCUGUGGGUGUGCACAGCCCCCGGUUAAGGACAGACCCUCUGAUGGGAAAGGCAGAUUUUAUAAACCAGAGCAGCUGCCUGAGGUUUCCAAGAGAAAAUUCUGCACAGUUUCUAACCAGGGUGACAGUUCCCCUCCACAGGAAGUUGCUUUUAUUAAGGUUGUUGGGUUUUUAUGUUUCUUCUUUUUUUUUUUUAAUCUGAUUUAUUUUGUAAGGCUCCAUCUACCGGUCACCAGGCAGCACCUUGGGCCUUGUGGGCAUUUUUGUCCCCCCCCCCUUUUGCCUGGAAUUAAUGAUUACAUCUAAACCACAGUGGGCUUGCCCAACACAGGGCAAAGUUGAACGGCUAAAAAGUGGGUCAUUCACAGGAACUGAACAGAAGAAUCCCAGGUGAUUUACGGAGAUACUCUGCUCAUCAAAUUAACUCCACACACCCUAAGUGAUUUCCUUCCAAAGAGGACAGUGUGGAAAGGAGGGGGGAGAGUAACUUCGCAGUGGAGACCCCUGACAAAUGCCACCUCAGUCACGUGAUCAAGGUCGGUAUCAACAGUGCUAAGUCAGGUUGAUAGCAUGUACUCUUGAUAUGAUGCAAUGAGAAGGGCAAUUCACCUCCCCCGUCUUCCUCCCAAAACCCAUCACCCCAGUUGAACCAUGAGAAAAACAUCAAGCCCCAUUUGAGGGACAGUCUACUACGAAAUACCUGACCAGUACCCCAUCAAAAACCAGAGAAGUCUGAGAAAUUAUCACGGCCAAGAGGAGCUUCAGGAAACACGAUGACUAACUGGGAUGUGGUGUCCUGGAUGGGAUCCUGCGACAGAAAAGGGACAUUAGGUAAACAGUGAGUGAGAUCCAAAUGAGUCGUGGAGUUUCAUUAAUAGCAGUGUACCACUGUGGGUUCCUCCGUUGCGAAAAAAUGUACCAUAGCCUGGGUGGCUCCUUCGGUAAAGUGUCUGGCUCUCGGUUUCCACUCAGGUCAUGAUCUCAGGGUACUGGGAUGGAGCCCAGAGUCAGGCUGUGCGCUCAGCGAUUCUCUCUUCCUCUCCAUCCCCGUCUGCCCCUCCCCCUGCUCUUGUGGGUUCUCUCUCUCUCUCUCUCUCUCUCUCAAUUAAAUAAAUAUAAUCCAAAAAAGAAAAAUGUACCAUAGUAAUGUCGGAUGCUUAACAAUAGGAGAAACUGA